rnacentral:rRNA from 1 species
GACGAACGCUGGCGGCGUGCCUAAUACAUGCGAGUUGAGCGCUGAAGGUUGGUACUUGUACCAACUGUAUGAGCAGCGAACGGGUGAGUAACGCGUGGGUAAUCUGCCUUUGAGCGUGGGACAACAUUUGGAAACGAAUGCUAAUACCGCAUAAAAACUUUAAACACAAGUUUUAAGUUUGAAAGAUGCAAUUGCAUCACUCAAAGAUGAUCCCGCGUUGUAUUAGCUAGUUUGGGAGGUAAAGGCUCAACAAGGCGAUGAUACAUAGCCGACCGGAGAGGGUGAUAGGCCAACUCGGGAACGAGAACAGGCUCCAAAUCCCACGGGAGGCAGCAGUAGGGAAUCUUCGGCCAUGGACGAAAGUCUGAACGAGCCACGCCGCGGGAGUGAAGAAGGUUCUCGGAUCGUAAAACUCUGUUGGUAGAGAAGAACGUUGGUGAGAGUGGAAAGCUCAUAAAGUGACGGUAACUACCCAGAAAGGGACGGCUAACUACGUG